rnacentral:rRNA from 1 species
UUCACACAUGCAAGUCGAACGGUAACGGGUCCUUCGGGAUGCCGACGAGUGGCGGACGGGUGAGUAACGCGUAGGAAUCUGCCUAGUCGUGGGGGACAACCUGGGGAAACCCGGGCUAAUACCGCAUACGCUCUUGAGGGGAGACUCUUAGGAGGAAAGCGGGCCUCUGAUAUGCUCGCGCGAUUAGAUGAGCCUGCGUCGGAUUAGCUAGUUGGUGGGGUAAAGGCUCACCAAGGCGACGAUCCGUAGCUGGUCUGAAAGGAUGAUCAGCCACACUGGGACUGAAACAUGGACCAAACUCCUACUGGAUUCAUCAGAGGGGAAUAUUCGGACAGUGGGCGAACU